CCGGAGCGGACACGUCCACGAACCGGACCGCGCUGGACAAGAGCACUGCGCCGUCCCUGCCCAUGCGGACCUGCGGCCGGGGGCGCGGGCGGGCCAGCGGGAGAGCUGUGAAAUACUUGAAUGGAGCUGAGCCAACUCACCUGGAGAAAGUGAAUUUCAAACUUCUGCUGCACAUCAGCCACCGCGCCGCUGAGGGAGCCCAGGAGGAAGGCAACGCCCGCAGACGAUAUGACCCCUGCGUCUGUGUCCAGAGCUUGCCAUAACCACGGGAGCCGGCAGAGCAAGUGGGGAGCGGACCUCAAGAACAACGUUAAUGCAGAUUCCGCCCUGGC